CAGCCCUCCUCUCCCCGCCGCUUUGUCUCCUGCGCAGGCCCUGGUCCUCCCCUCCCCCGCGCCGGCGUAGCGCUCAACCCCUCCUCGGCCUCACGGAGCUCACCCUCCCGGCGCCCUUCGACGAAAGAACCCCCCGCCCCCCGUCUCGCCGCACGGAUCCAAAACCCUAGCGCACUCCGCGGGGCGCGCGGCGGCCCCCCUCCCCGGAGAGCCGGCUGCGGAGAUGAUGCAGCAGCACCCGCCGCCUUAGACCGGCGGGGAGUUCUACCGAGGCCCACCGCAGCCGCCGAUGCGGCAGCUCUCGACGGCGUCCUCCACCAACGUCCCCGGGAGACUACCCCCAGCACCCUGGCCACCCGCCGCCGCAGCAGAGCCAGCCACCAUACGACGCUCAUGGGGACAAUUUCGGCGCUAAAAGGAUGCGGAAGCACAGUCGUCCGCUAUGUUCAACCUUAUCGCUGACAGUUGGAUAUAAAGGAUAUUAAGGAGUCCAGCAUGAUCAUCUUCUGCAAACUUUAAAUAUCGUGCUUGGUGUACCUGAUAGACGGGAGUUGACAAAGGUGAGGGUGUGGAGGAAGGUCAAAAGAUGGGUUUGACCGGAUGGGUUUGACCGGCGGGAGUGACCUUUGACCAAGCUAGAUGAGGGGUUUUGGGCCUUUGGAAGGGAUGGGAGAAGGUUUAGGCCUUAUGAGGAAGGGAGGCAUAUAAUAGCUUAUUCUAAGAGGGUUUAUAAAUUAGUUUUGCUAUAUAUAUAUAUAUAUAUAUAUAUGCUAUACAGCGCCUGCAUAUACUAUACAGCGCAUGUGUACGUAGCGCGUGAUACAUUUUCCAUAUUUCGGCCUCACAAACUGACCGGCCCCGCUUCCAACCACCGCCCGCCUAUUUACUAACACAUUAAAUUUUUACUAACGACUGCGACGGUCUCCGCCCGACAGAAUAAUUUUUUUUCAUCGUAAGAAGCAAUGUGCAGGACACUCACUGUCGCGUAAAGAAAAUAGUAAAUUUUUUACUUGGAUACCCAUGACCAAACGAUCACCACUGUGUCGGAGGUGGAGGUUCAUGUCAUGAGUUAUUUUUUUACUAAACCUUGUGUUUCAUUAUGAGUGACAAGCUUAAAACGUCGUGAGUUAUUUUUUUACUGAACCUUGUCUUUCAUUACGAGUGACAUGCUUGAAACGCCUUGUGAUAAUAUUUUUACUGAACCUUUUGUGUUUACCACU